rnacentral:misc_RNA from 1 species
CUGCAACGACGCUCACCAGGCGCCUCUCCGUGAGACACGCCUACUUCUCCCCCCCCACUCCCAAGUAGGCAGGGGUGCACCAUCACCGCAAGCUAAACACAAAAAGGUCCACGUGUCGUGAUGAACGCCACAACCGUUAGUCCGUUCCACCCCACCGCACAGUGUAGAUGAGGGGAAGGGGGCAUAUGGAGGAGAUCAGAGCAUGCUGGCGCGAGUCAAUGCAGACCGGCGACAACAACUCAAAGCAGAUGGCGCUGAGGAAGGUGACAGCACUCAUGGCAGGCAGCAUGGACACCGCCGUGCUGUUCGCGGAAGCAAUCAUCUCCUGCUGCAGAAAUGAUCUCGAGGACAAAACUAUGGUUCACCUCUGCCUCACCACAACGUUGAAGCAAAAAGAGAGCCUGGCGGUGCUGGCCAUCAACGUACUUGUGAAAGAGUGCAGUGGUCAGAGUCCGAUGAUGCGUGGGUCGGCGCCCCGCGCCUUGUGGGCGAUGCGCGUGGGCAGCGUACUCGAGUAGCCUUUGCCGCUUCCCGAAAAGGCUAGGGCGGGCUACGCGGCCUGUGUGUGCGCAAGGCAGCCGUGCGCUGUCUCUUUCACAGAUUCAAUCGCUCCCCCCGUGACUCCUAGGAACACAAGUGCUUCGAGUACGCCCUGCGCUUUCCGUCCGACCCCGGCGUGCAAGUGAGCUGCAAGGCACUUGAGUUGCUGCUUGCGGUGCACCAGAGUGGGGCGACGCAGGAGCCUCGGUGCAAACCAGCAUCUUCGAUUCAUGGUGAACAGCGCGCUGCCGUACCAUUUGUUGGGCCGGCGGCGACUCACGAACGAGUGGGAGCAGAUUCAGGUGCACCACCCGUGGAUCGAGUACACCUCUUCUUCCCCCCCCCACACACACACUAGCGAGAAGGGGAUGUUUGAAAUGAUUAACCUGCUGGGUGAGCACCUCGAGCCCCACAAGGCCGGCGUCGUGAUGCCCUGCAGUCACGCCUUUGCAUCUUGAUGCCACGCUCACGGUGCUCACGGACGCGCCACGGAAGCACUUGCAUCUUGACGCUGGCCGCCCUCUGUUACUGACCAUCGUCCAGUGCUACAAGGAGGCACCGCUCGCCGACGAUAAAAGGCGGCCGGCGCUCCUCUGACUGUGGGACGACUUGCACCAGUACACUAUAGGCGCCUCGUGCCCGUUGGAGCUGUUCCUCGACACACACUUCAAGGACUCUGCGGCGUUUCGGCUGCGGCUGCUGACCUCUGCCGCAAAACGCUUUUUCAAGUGCCCGGCAGAGAUGCAGCGCUGCCUCGGGGUCACCCUCUCCGACCCUUCUGAAUGACUUCACGAACGCAGACGUUCGCAGCAAGGCGCCAUUGCGCUAUCGGCUCCUCAGCACUGCUAUGGCAGCGGCGGCGCGGGUACGUUUUGCGGCGAAGCAGUCGGUGCGCACCACCCCCGUCAAGGGCGCGGAUACCGGUGUGAUGGACCCGCUCACGGUAGAGUUGUACACCCUUUCCAUCGUCAAGGACGCGCCGCGAGAGCUGUUUCUUGAUGCAGAGAGGCGGCAGCGGCAGUAUAGGACGUCGAGCGCUGAAGCAGCGAAAGAGGAAGACGAGGAGGAGGACAGCGUGCCCGCUGAUGAGGCGGACAUCAUCAGCGAGGCUGCGGAGAGGCGCGUGGACGACGACAAGUCACACAGCCAGCUCUACACUGUAGAGCUUGAAGGCGCUGGCCUUGUGUCCGGCAGCACCGCCAUAGAAGCGGCACUGAAGACGCGCAGUAUCGUUCCUCUCGCAUCGGGAAUGUAGAACGGUACGCCGAUGCGAGCACUUUACGCCGUGGUCAUAGCGCCGGCUCAAGUGUGCUUCUUGAUGAACCCCCUCGUGGCCCUCACAAGCGCGGUGUGGGUGACUGCGAAAAGUGUCAUGUUCAACGAUCUGCAGAGAUUCUCGGGCGAAGUGUGUAGGGCGCCUCACGCAGUGCAGCAGCACCCCCAUGCGCCCGCAUAAGACUCUUCACACACAACAAAAAAACGCACCCCCGACACGCUGUCUCGAUUCUUCUUACCAGUGGAGCAAGCAAACGCGAAGUAGAGCAAAGGUCUUUAGCAGCGGCGACGGAGCUGGUGAGCCGCCACGGUCAAUGCCUGCACAGUCCACACAUCCACUUUUUUCCCGCGAAGGCACUUGGUCACUCGUGACGCAACUGUUGACGUUUUGGGUUUUUUUUUCGCGUUGUGGCGCAUACGUGUGCCGCCGCUUGUCGGCUGUGCGUUUUUGUUUCCUCCCCCUCCCCUUGUCCUCCUCCUGUCUUGGGUAUGCGCGCGUGAGCGCCUGUACUCCGUUAUGGGCAAAGGGGUCGUGUGCGUCCAGCACGACCAGCGAUAGUUUGUCCGACCACGUCCGCAGGUAAGCGAAACAAAGCACAGCGCACACGCUCACAGCCUUGCGGUGCCGGUGUACGUCUGAUGCGCCACCAGGGGAAGAGCUGGUGAGAACCCGAAAGGAGGGGCGAGGGCUCCGCAAACUCCAUUGUUUUUUUUUUUCAAGUGAAAAGCAGCGUGGGGCACACCUCUACGCCCACACGAGCCAGCAAUGUGCCGGGGGCUUCCCCUACCCACCGCCAUCAACCUUUGUGAUCCCUCCCUCAACCUCCGUAUCAUCUCCUCUCCAAUUCACGGCUACUCCCCGUACGCCAACACUCCUACCGAAG